AGUGAACGCUGGCGGUAGGCCUAACACAUGCAAGUCGAACGGCAGCACAGGAGAGCUUGCUCUCUGGGUGGCGAGUGGCGGACGGGUGAGGAAUACAUCGGAAUCUACUCUGUCGUGGGGGAUAACGUAGGGAAACUUACGCUAAUACCGCAUACGACCUACGGGUGAAAGCAGGGGAUCUUCGGACCUUGCGCGAUUGAAUGAGCCGAUGUCGGAUUAGCUAGUUGGCGGGGUAAAGGCCACCAAGGCGACGAUCCGUAGCUGGUCUGAGAGGAUGAUCAGCCAGACUGGAACUGAGACACGGGCCAGACUCCUACGGGAGGCAGCAGUGGGGAAUAUUGGACAAUGGGCGCAAGCCUGAUCCAGCCAUACCGCGUGGGUGAAGAAGGCCUUCGGGUUGUAAAGCCCUUUUGUUGGGAAAGAAAUCCAGCUGGCUAAUACCCGGUUGGGAUGACGGUACCCAAAGAAUAAGCACCGGCUAACUUCGUGCCAGCAGCCGCGGUAA
rnacentral:rRNA from 1 species